CUUGAAGGCAGGUGCAUUUGGGCUCCUAGCUUCGCCUAAAGCUGAGAUUCUCAACCGUUGCUCCACAAUAGAACAACUUGGGGAAAUUAAAAAGACAAAAACAAACAAAAAAACCCUAAGGCAAUUCACUUCUAGGAAAUUCUCAUAAGAUACAUUCACAGGAAUGUGCUGAAUUCAAUCUCUUUUAAGAUAUAAAAGAUAGAAGCAAGAAGAGAGGAGAGGGACCUCCUGUCACCAAGAAAGAAGAGCCGGGAGUGGAGCAUGUCCUUUGAACCUAGGAUUCCUGCGCUGAGAAAAUCCUACACCCAGGGGAAGACUGAUGAUAAGGACCUUCCCCUAGAGCUGAGAAAGAAAGCAUUCCCCUGGAGCUGGUGCCCUGAAUUCAGACUUCUAGACUCCUAAACUGUGAGAGAAUAAACUUCUGUUUGUUAAAGUCAUCCA